AAGUUUAACUUUUUAAAUACUGUGUUGAUACAAAAUCCCCCAAUUGUUAAGUGUGUUAAAUACGUUUUUGUGUUUAUCUCAUGCCUCAAAGAUGUGUUUUGGUUUUUUCCUGUUUUAAUAUAUUUUCUUGUCUUUCGAAUGGGGGGGGGGGUUGACGCUGCGCACUUUGACGUCACCCGUUCCGUCCGACGCUGCGGCGCGAGAACGAGUGCGCGAACGUUCUGGAACUUUCAUGUCGGAGACACGCUCGCCUUCCUUAAAGAAGGUUUUCGGUCGAGGGAACCAGUGCGGCGCUCACUUCUGGGUUGGCCGACAAAAAUAUGUCUUCUCUAAGACCUAUUUGUUAUAGUAACGAUAGAAAGGUGAAGAGCUUUCAUACCGGGGACCAGGCAGAGGAACUCUUCCCGCUUUCAGCUCAUCAAUGAUCUGCUCAAUGUCUGAUGGUUUAAGAUCCUCCUACAAAUCAAAGCAAAGAAAAAUAAAAGUAUAUGAAACGAU